rnacentral:rRNA from 1 species
UACGGGGGGGGCAAGCGUUGUUCGGAAUUACUGGGCGUAAAGGGCUCGUAGGUGGCCAACUAAGUCGGACGUGAAAUCCCUCGGCUUAACCGGGGAACUGCGUCUGAUACUGGAUGGCUUGAGUUCGGGAGAGGGAUGCGGAAUUCCAGGUGUAGCGGUGAAAUGCGUAGAUAUCUGGAGGAACACCGGUGGCGAAGGCGGCAUCCUGGACCGACACUGACGCUGAGGAGCGAAAGCUAGGGGAGCAAACGGG